rnacentral:rRNA from 1 species
AGCAGCCGCGGUAAUUCCAGCUCCAAUAGCGUAUAUUAAAGUUGUUGCAGUUAAAAAGCUCGUAGUUGAAUUUCGGGAUCAAUAUGUUGGUCGUGCCUUGGUACGUACUAAUUUAUUGGUUUCUUCCUUCUGACGAACCAUGAUGUCAUUAAUUUGGUGUCUUGGGGAAUCAGGACUGUUACUUUGAAAAAUUAGAGUGUUUAAAGCAGGCUCACGCUUGAAUACAUUAGCAUGGAAUAAUGAAAUAGGACGUUUGAUUCUAUUUUGUUGGUUUCUAGGAUUGACGUAAUGAUUAAUAGGGAUAGUUGGGGGCAUUAGUAUUCAAUUGUCAGAGGUGAAAUUCUUGGAUUUAUUGAAGACUAACUACUGCGAAAGCAUUUGCCAAGGAUGUUUUCAUUAAUCAAGAACGAAAGUUAGGGGAUCGAAGACGAUCAGAUACCGUCG